UACGUAGGGGGCAAGCGUUAUCCGGAUUUACUGGGUGUAAAGGGAGCGUAGACGGCAGGGCAAGUCUGGAGUGAAAGGCGGGGGCUCAACCCCCGGACUGCUCUGGAAACUGCCAGGCUGGAGUGCAGGAGAGGUAAGUGGAAUUCCUAGUGUAGCGGUGAAAUGCGUAGAUAUUAGGAGGAACACCAGUGGCGAAGGCGGCUUACUGGACUGUAACUGACGUUGAGGCUCGAAAGCGUGGGGAGCAAACGGG
rnacentral:rRNA from 1 species